rnacentral:rRNA from 1 species
UUGAACGCUGGCGGCAUGCCUUACACAUGCAAAUCGAACGGUAACGGGCCUUCGGGUGCCGACGAGUGGCGAACGGGUGAGUAAUACAUCGGAACGUGCCCGAUCGCGGGGGAUAACGAGGCGAAAGCUUUGCUAAUACCGCAUCCGAACUACGGAUGAAAGCAGGGGACCGCAAGGCCUUGCGCGGACGGGGCGGCCGAUGGCAGACUAGGUAGUUGGUGGGAUAAAAGCUUACCAAGCCGACGAUCUGUGGCUGGUCUGAGAGGAUGAUCAGCCACACUAGGGCUGAGACGCGGCCCAGACUCCUACGGGAGGCAGCAGUGGGGAAUGUUGGGCAGUGGGCGCGAGCCUGAUCCAGCCAUGCCGCGUGCAGGAUGAAGGCCUUCGGGUUGUAAACUGAUUUUGUACGGAACGAAAAGCCUUCUUUUAAUACAGGAGGGUCAUGACGGUACCGUAAGAAUAAGCACCGGCUAACUACGUG